rnacentral:rRNA from 1 species
CCUACGGGUGGCAGCAGUGAGGAAUAUUGGUCAAUGGGCGAGAGUCUGAACCAGCCAAGUAGCGUGAAGGAUGACAGCCCUAUGGGUUUUAAACUUCUUUUAUAUGGGAAUAAAGUGCUCCACGUGUGGGAUUUUGUAUGUACCAUAUGAAUAAGGAUCGGCUAACUCCGUGCCAGCAGCCGCGGUAAUCCGGAGGAUCCGAGCGUUAUCCGGAUUUAUUGGGUUUAAAGGGAGCGUAGGUGGAUUGUUAAGUCAGGUGUGAAAGUUUGCGGCUCAACCGUAAAAUUGCAGUUGAAACUGGUAGGAUUGAGUAUAGUAGAGGUGGGUGGAAUUCGUGGUGUAGCGGUGAAAUGCUUAGAUAUCACGAAGAACUCCGAUUGCGAAGGCAGCUUACUGGACCGUAACUGACACUGAGGCUCGAAAGUGUGGGUAUCAAACAGGAUUAGAUACCCCUGUAGUC